UUUUUGGUUAAGGAAAAAAAGUUUUUCAGGGGUUCGUUGGGAAACCAGCGGAAGGAUCAUUACCGAUGUUUACAACUCCCAGACCCAUGCUGAGACAUACCUAUGAUUGCUUCGGUGGGAGCCUCCCCGGCGCCGCGGAACCGCAUGCUUUCGCGGCCCGCACCAAGGCGCCCAAGCAGGAGGCCACAAACAUCUUCUGUUUUUUACAGUAUCUUUCAGAGCUGUGCUGAAAGGAAAAAACAAAUGAAUCAAAAAACUUUCAACAAUCGGAUCUCUUGGGUUUCUGGCAUCCGAUGAAAGAACGCAGCGAAAUGCGAUUAAGUAAUGUGAAUUGCAGAAUUCAUGUGAAUCAUCGAAUCUUUGAACGCACAUUGCGCCCGCUGGAAUUUCUUGGCGGGCAUGCCUGUUCGAGCGUUCAUUUCAAACCCUCGGUCUCCCUCCGGGAGAGACCGUUCGUUGGGGACCGGCACUUACCCCGCCGGCCCGAAAUGAAGUGGCGGCCCGUCCGCGGCGACCUCUGUGUAGUAACUCACUCGCACCGGGACCCGGGGGCGGCCACGCCGUAAAACCCCCAACUUCGAAUGUUGACCUCGAAUCAGGUAGGAAUACCCGCUGAACUUAAGCAUAUCAAUAAGCGGAGGAAAAGAAACCAACAGGGAUUGCCCCAGUAACGGCGAGUGAAGCGGCAACAGCUCAAAUUUGAAAUCUGGUCGCCAGGGCCCGAGUUGUAAUUUGUAGAGGAUGCUUUUGGCGAGGCGCCUUCCGAGUUCCCUGGAACGGGACGCCACAGAGGGUGAGAUCCCCGUCUGGUCGGAUGCACAGGCCUAUGUAAAGCUCCUUCGACGAAGUCGAGUAGUUUGGGAAUGCUGCUCAAAAUGGGAGGUAUAUGUCUUCUAAAGUCUAAAUAUUGGCCAAGAGACCGAUAGCGCACCAAGUAGGAGUGGAUCGUAAAGAUGAAAAAGCACUUUGAAAAGAGGGUUAAAAAAGUACGUGAAAAUUGUUGAAAAGGGAAGCGCCUAUGACCAGACUUGGGACCCGGUGAAUCAUCCAGCGUUCUCCGCUGGUUCACUUUUGCCGGGCACAGGCCAGCAUCAGUUUGGCGCGGGGGAUAAAGGCUUCGGGAAUGUGGCUCCCUAGGGAAGUGUUAUACGCCCGUUGUUUAAUACCCUGCGCCGGACUGAGAACGCGCUUCCGCAGACUUGCGAAAGGAUUUAACUUAAACGGAAUUAAAAAAGGA
rnacentral:rRNA from 1 species